rnacentral:rRNA from 1 species
CCCUUAGACGUUCUGGGCCGCACGCGCGCUACACUGACCAGUGCAACAAGCAUCCGUCCUUGGCCGACAGGCCCGGGCAAUCUUUGAACGCUGGUCGUGAUGGGGAUAGACUUUUGCAAUUUUUGGUCUUCAACGAGGAAUUCCUAGUAAACGCAAGUCAUCAACUUGCAUUGAUUACGUCCCUGCCCUUUGUACACACCGCCCGUCGCACCUACCGAUUGAAUGGUCCGGUGAAGCCUCCGGAUUGGCGCGCACCCCGGUGCCGCCGAGAAGUUGGCUAAACCUUACCAUUUAGAGGAAGUAAAAGUCGUAACA